UUCGGGGUGUGCUGGAUCUGUCUUUCUAGAGCAAGGGAUGCGAUGUUGAGCGGCGCGGGGCGCUGGCCGGGCCUUUCAGGGCCGAGGUUUGCGCCCUACUCUUCAUCCGCGUGCCUCCCGCUGUCCGGGACGCGCAGCCAGCCCCCGGGCACAGCGAGGGAGCCGCUCAGGCGCUAGACGCCUGUAACUCCGGGACCACAGGGCGACAGGCUCGGGGCAGCCAUGCUGGGGCACGCGGGUGCAGAUGGGCAGUGGGAGGUACGCGGGACGCUUGUGAGUCCUCGUGCCUCGUACUCCGUGGAGCUGGCUGCUGGAAGAGGGAGCUGCUUCAAGAUGAGCCCCACGGACCCGGACGCCUAGGAGCCCAGACUUCCUGCACCCCCAGGCCCUAAGGCGACCCUGGCCAGCUGCACCCAAUCAACCCCUAGCUGGAGAGACCCCAUGGCCAUGUUCCGGCUGCCCUGAGUCUGGGGCUGCAGAGCUUCCUGCCCGCAGAGCCUCCUGCC